UACGGGGGGGGCAAGCGUUGUUCGGAAUCAUUGGGCGUAAAGGGUGCGUAGGCGGUGCGGUAAGUCUGGUGUGAAAUCCCCGAGCUUAACUCGGGUCCCGCGCCAGAGACUGCCGUGCUCGGAGUGUGGGAGAGGAAAGUGGAAUUCCCGGUGUAGCGGUGAAAUGCGUAGAUAUCUGGAGGAAUACCGGUGGCGAAGGCGGCCACCUGGGCCGACCCUGGACGCUGAGGCGCGAAGGCGUGGGGAGCGAACGGG
rnacentral:rRNA from 1 species